rnacentral:rRNA from 1 species
AUCUGAACCUUCGGGGGACGAUAACGGCGUCGAGCGGCGGACGGGUGAGUAAUGCCUAGGAAAUUGCCCUGAUGUGGGGGAUAACCAUUGGAAACGAUGGCUAAUACCGCAUGAUGCCUACGGGCCAAAGAGGGGGACCUUCGGGCCUCUCGCGUCAGGAUAUGCCUAGGUGGGAUUAGCUAGUUGGUGAGGUAAGGGCUCACCAAGGCGACGAUCCCUAGCUGGUCUGAGAGGAUGAUCAGCCACACUGGAACUGAGACACGGUCCAGACUCCUACGGGAGGCAGCAGUGGGGAAUAUUGCACAAUGGGCGCAAGCCUGAUGCAGCCAUGCCGCGUGUGUGAAGAAGGCCUUCGGGUUGUAAAGCACUUUCAGUCGUGAGGAAGGUGGUGUAGUUAAUAGCUGCAUUAUUUGACGUUAGCGACAGAAGAAGCACCGGCUAACUCCGUGCCAGCAGCCGCGGUAAUACGGAGGGUGCGAGCGUUAAUCGGAAUUACUGGGCGUAAAGCGCAUGCAGGUGGUUUGUUAAGUCAGAUGUGAAAGCCCGGGGCUCAACCUCGGAAUAGCAUUUGAAACUGGCAGACUAGAGUACUGUAGAGGGGGGUAGAAUUUCAGGUGUAGCGGUGAAAUGCGUAGAGAUCUGAAGGAAUACCGGUGGCGAAGGCGGCCCCCUGGACAGAUACUGACACUCAGAUGCGAAAGCGUGGGGGAGCAAACAGGAUUAGAUACCCUGGUAGUCCACGCCGUAAACGAUGUCUACUUGGAGGUUGUGGCCUUGAGCCGUGGCUUUCGGAGCUAACGCGUUAAGUAGACCGCCUGGGGGAGUACGGUCGCAAGAUUAAAACUCAAAUGAAUUGACGGGGGCCCGCACAAGCGGUGGA